GGGGCGGGGAUGGGGAGGCAGUGGCGGCGAAGGCCGGAGGAGGCGGGCGCGGGCGAGCGGGCAGACAGAGCGGCGGCGGCGGCAGUCUCCCGAGCGCUCCUGUGAAGCGUCCCUAUUCCCGUUGCCGUGGGCCUCUCGGGGAGGCCAUCCGGGACGCGAGCCGCUGCGGAACCGCUCCCCAAGCCCCACUGCUCUUCGGACUCUCGGUCCCAUCCUCGCGUUUCUGCUCCGGCUCCUCCAUCUUGGCCUCGACAGUGGCUGCUGUGGGGAGGAUGUGCCGCCUCCUGGCAGGGGGAAGAAGGAGGAGAAGAUGAAGAAGUACCGGCGGGCCUUGGCCCUGGUCUCCUGCCUCUCUCUCUGCUCUCUAGUCUGGCUUCCGAGUUGGCAUGUUUGCUGUAAAGAGAGUUCUUCAGCUUCAACAUCAUACUAUUCUCAAGAUGAUAAUUGUGCAAUAGGAAGUGAAGACACACAGUUCCAGAAAAAGAAUGAAAGAGAGGAACCUAGUAAUGCUGAGCUAUCAGGAAAAUCAAAUUCCUAUUUAACUAUAUCUCCAGAAGGAAACAAAAUAAAGGAUGACUACACUGUGGAUGUACAAGAUUUGGAAACAACGAAGUUAAGCCUCCCUGUGGUUGAAGCACUCCCUACAGUUGAUUUGCAUGAAGAGUCUUCCAGUGUAGUUGUAGGCAGUGAAACCAUUGAAAAUAGUUCCAGUUCAUCUACCUCAGAAAGGACUCCAGUCUCAGAGCUUGAUGAAGUAGAAAAGUCUGGUACUUUAUCUAUAGCCAAGCCAGGUGAAGUGGAGCAGCCUGAAGCUGACUGUGAUGCUGGGGAGGCUCCUGAUGCAGAUGCUCCAGUGGAACAACCUGCUUUUGUCAGUCCACCAGAGAGCCUUGUUGGCCAGCAUAUAGAGAAUGUGUCAUCUUCACACGGCAAAGAAAAAGUAACAAAAUCAGAAUUUGAAUCAAAAGUUUCAGUGAGUGAGCAAGACGGUGGUGAUCCGAAGUCUGCAUUAAACACUUCAGAUACUUUAAAAAAUGAGAGCUCUGAUUAUACAAAACCAGGAGAAACUGACCCUACAUCUGUCACAAGUCCCAAAGAUCCAGAAGAUAUACCAACAUUUGAUGAGUGGAAGAAGAAAGUUAUGGAAGUAGAAAAAGAAAAAAGUCAGUCGUUGCAUCCGUCUUCUAAUGGAGGUCCACAUGCCACAAAAAAGGUCCAGAAAAAUAGAAAUAAUUAUGCCUCUGUGGAGUGUGGUGCCAAAAUUUUGGCAGCUAAUCCGGAAGCCAAGAGCACAUCUGCUAUUCUUAUAGAAAAUAUGGACCUUUAUAUGCUGAAUCCUUGCAGCACUAAAAUUUGGUUUGUUAUUGAACUCUGUGAGCCAAUUCAAGUGAAACAAUUUGAUAUUGCAAAUUAUGAAUUAUUUUCUUCUACUCCCAAAGACUUUCUGGUUUCUAUCAGUGACAGAUAUCCCACAAAUAAAUGGAUUAAGCUGGGUACUUUCCAUGGUAGAGAUGAGCGGAAUGUCCAAAGUUUUCCCCUGGAUGAACAGAUGUAUGCAAAAUACGUGAAGAUGUUCAUCAAGUACAUAAAGGUGGAGCUGCUAUCACAUUUUGGAUCAGAGCACUUUUGUCCUUUAAGCCUAAUAAGGGUUUUUGGUACUAGCAUGGUGGAAGAAUAUGAAGAAAUUGCUGACUCCCAGUAUCAGUCAGAACGUCAGGAACUAUUUGAUGAGGACUAUGAUUAUCCCCUGGAUUAUAAUACUGUGGAGGAUAAAUCUUCAAAAAAUCUUCUUGGUUCUGCUACAAAUGCCAUUCUAAAUAUGGUGAAUAUUGCUGCUAAUAUUCUGGGAGCAAAAACUGAAGACUUGACAGAAGGAAAUAAAAGUAUAUCUGAGAAUGCCACUGCCACAACUGAACCUAAAAUGACUGAAUCAACUCGUGUUUCAACUCCUGUUCCAUCACCUGAAUAUGUAAUCAAGGAAGUCCAUACACAUGAUAGAGAACCAUCAACCUCAGAUCCUCCAAAAGAGAGUCCGAUUGUACAACUGGUUCAGGAGGAAGAAGAGGAAGCGAGUCCAUCUACAGUGACCCUUUUGGGCAGUGGUGAACAAGAGGAUGAGUCGUCAUCCUGGUUUGAGUCUGAGACACACAUACUUUGUAGUGAGCUGACUUCAAUUUGUUGUAUUUCUAGUUUUUCGGAGUACAUAUAUAAAUGGUGCUCAGUUAGAAUUGCUCUUUAUCGACAACGCAGCAGGACUGUGAGUAAAGGAAAAGAUUUUGUGCCACCUCAGCCAUCACUACUACUUCCUGUAGAAUCAGUAGAGGUUUCAGUACCGCAGCCUCCCAGUGGCGAUGUGGAUAGCGAGAACAUGGAAAGAGAAGCUGAAACUGUUGAUCUGGAUGAUUUAAGUAGUGUGCACCAGGGGCAUUUGAUAAAUCACACAGUGGACACAAUUGAACUUGAACCAAGCUACCCUCAAACUCUUUCUCAGUCUCUUCUCUUAGAUGUUACUCCAGAAAUGAAUUCACUGUCUAAAGUAGAAGGAUCUGAGUCUGUUAAAUCUGAAGGAGGAUAUAUUCCAUCACAAUUGAUGACCCAAGAGAGUUCUGUUGAGUUUGAUGAUAAAACAGAAAAAAAGACCGAGAGCUUUAGUUCUGCUGAGAAGCUCUCUGUUAUUUAUGAAACAAGUAAAGUUAAUGAGGUGAUGGACAAUACUGUGAAAGAAGACAUACUCUCCACAGAAGUUGUCACCAAGUUCCCUGAAACAGUAGUACCACCACCUAUGAACACAGCCACUGUGCCAGAGGGUGAAAGUGUGGAAACCAAACCUAGUAUAGCUGAUACACUAAAGCAUACAGUGACUCCAGUUAUGGAUCCUUCAUUGCCUGAAGUGAAAGAGGAUGAACAGUCUCCAGAGGAUGCCCUUUUAAGAGGGUUACAGAGGACAGCUACAGAUUUCUAUGCUGAAUUACAAAAUUCUACUGAUCUGGGAUAUGGUAAUGGAAAUCUUGUGCAUGGAUCAAAUCAGAAGGAGUCAGUAUUUAUGAGGCUUAAUAAUCGUAUUAAAGCCUUAGAAGUUAACAUGUCUCUCAGUGGUCGCUAUCUGGAGGAGCUUAGUCAAAGGUACCGCAAACAAAUGGAAGAAAUGCAGAAGGCUUUCAAUAAGACAAUAGUUAAGCUUCAGAAUACUUCACGGAUAGCAGAAGAGCAGGAUCAGCGGCAAACUGAAGCCAUCCACUUGCUCCAGGCACAACUGACCAACAUGACACAGCUUGUUUCAAACCUAUCAGCAACUGUAGCAGAAUUAAAGCGGGAGGUUUCAGAUCGUCAGAGUUACCUUGUCAUGUCUUUGGUUUUAUGUGUUGUCUUGGGACUGAUGCUCUGUAUGCAACGCUGUCGAACUACUUCUCAAUUUGAUGGAGAUUACAUUUCAAAACUUCCCAAAAGUAAUCAGUAUCCAAGCCCUAAAAGGUGUUUCUCUUCCUAUGAUGACAUGAAUUUGAAAAGAAGAACAUCAUUUCCCCUCAUCAGAUCCAAAUCUCUGCAGUUUACUGGCAAAGAAGAAAGGGAUGUUUGAGAAAGUUCAACAGCUAUGGAAACCCUGAAUGCUCAAUGUGCUCUCAUAGCAUCCUGUGCUUUUCUGCCUCCUCUUCUUGUGCAGUAGAUCCGAAUGAUUUGUACAUCGUAGAACCCCUCAAGUUCUCUCCAGAGAAAAAGAAGAAACGUUGCAAGUACAAAACUGAAAAAAUUGAGACAAUAAAGCCUGCAGAUCCAUUGCACCCUAUAGCAAAUGGAGAUAUAAAAGGAAGAAAGCCCUUUACGAACCAGAGAGAUUUUUCUAACAUGGGAGAAGUUUAUCACUCUUCUUACAAGGGCCCUCCGUCUGAGGGCAGCUCGGAAACUUCAUCACAGUCAGAAGAGUCCUAUUUUUGUGGCAUUUCAGCUUGUACAAGUCUGUGCAAUGGACAGACCCAAAAGACAAAAACUGAGAAGAGGGCUUUAAAACGAAGGCGAUCUAAAGUCCAAGACCAAGGAAAGUUAAUAAAAGCUCUUAUACAGACUAAGUCGGGGUCAUUGCCGAGCCUGCAUGACAUAAUCAAAGGAAACAAGGAGAUCACCGUGGGAGCAUUUGGGGUUACAGCAGUCUCGGGACAUAUCUAAAAGGAGCUGAACAUUUAUACUGAAAACUUUUUUGUUCUUUGAAGAACAGCCUGUGGUAUUUGAAGGGUUCAGGGGGAGGGAUAAAAUAUUGGGGAAAGUAUUCAGAAAUUAUGGGUUUUUUUAUUUUGCCUUUUAAAAAAGUAGACAGGAUUGUGUCAAUCUUGGCUGAUGAGCUACAGUUUUACAAGGCUGAUCUCUUCCUAGAAGGAUGGUGAUAGGCAUUUUAUAAAGAUGUGUUUUCACAGAUAAUUACUGGGACAAAAGUAAUUUGGAAGCCCAGUUCCUUGGGUGGAUAGGAACGAAAGCCUAAACCUCUCCUUCAGCUUGGUUCCCGUUUCUUGCACCUUCCCAUAUUUAUGUGCCUUUUGUCUAUUUAUAAUGCCACUGGAAGAGGAGGGAGAACUUUUUCUGUCAUUUGAUUUGUUUUGUAACUUUAUUAGGUUUUUGAAGCUGCAAACACUACAAAGCUUUAAGGUGGUCCAUGCCUGAAGCUCAGCAAUGUGGGUCAUUUGCAUAAAGAUCCUAAAGACUUCCAACUUAGAACCGCUCAGUAGUCUCACUGAAAUAAACACUUUCUCAAGUUUUCUAAAGGCCUUUCAGAUAAAAAGGUGAUGAUUUCACCCUUGGUUUCAUUUAAUUUAGUUGGAUUGGGUUUUUUUUCCCCCUGAGUUAUUAUUAACUCAGUAAAAUGGUAAGAUAUUUUCUUGGAAAUGACAGGUAUUUGGAAUAAAUUUAUUAUAAAUUCACCUUUAAACACACUUAACUAUUUGUGAUGAUUUCUCUACAUUGCUCUCAAUGUUCACAGUAAACACUAAUCCUCCAAAUUUUCACAUCACCAAGACCAGGUUUUCCAUGGUCCUGUCACUGCCUUUGUACAUAGUCACAGAACCAGCCAGUGAGCACGUCAGGCCUGAUUCAGUCUAAUUGGUAAAGUCUAAUGGGAUUGUGAUUCCUUCAUGUUUGCUUUCGUUGGCUACAAUGUGCAGAUAUGUAUGUAUGUGAUGUCAGCAUCUGUCUUCACUUGUUUUUUUGUUUUGUUUUGGUUUUUUCCUUAAGUAAUUGGCAGUGUCUGAGUAAAUUGAUUUCUUGAUGUGUGAUUGUACAGGGAUGAGUGAAAGUGAUAUGUGUUUUAGAGAGAGAAUUGACCAUUUUGUGUUGUAAAAUUUUAAGUUAUAAUUUAUUGAGCACUUUUGUUAAUAAUUGUUUAUAAAUUUGUCUAAUGCCUUUUUUGGUAUUGUUUGUAAUGUGAUUUAUUUAAGGCCUUUUUGUUUAAGUUGCUGCUUUAGGUUAACAGUAUGUUUUAGGAAAUGAAUUUCCCCUCUCCCAGUCUGCACAAUUAGCCAUUCAGAGCAAUAUGGCCUGGUGGUACACAGCAGGCCCUUGAGAAGUCCAGAUGUGAGCCGAGCUAGAGUGGGGAGUCACUGUGUGCUGUGAAAGGAGGGUUUUUAAUAUGUAACUACAGAGCUGUAGUACCAUUAGAAACUGUGAAUUUCCAAAUAAAUCUGAACACUUGUCUUUAUUAAUCACUGGCUCUUCUGUCCUUUAAAAGAUUGCAAAAAUUUAUUACUAACUUUUGAUCAUAGAUUUAAGGGUGUUUUGGUUUUUGGUUUUUGUUUUGUUGGGGUUUUUUUUGUUUUGUUUAGUUUUUUUUUUUUUUACAUCUUUCAGGCUAAAUAUGACAGCAUUGCUCAAAUUUCAGGCAACCACAGUCUACUCUUUCACCUAAGCAUUAUGUUCGUUAAUAAUCAUAGUUUACCUUUGCAGACUCUAAGCAGACAGUUCUGAUAUUUAGUAAGAUGCAGAUCUACCUAGAGAACUAUAGCUUUAGUCUGAGUUUUAUUUCUGCAGAUUAUAACUACAUGUAAGAGGGAAGAAAACUAAGCGGCAAAGUCUCAGACCUUUAAUGAGAGAAGAUUCUUGCCAGGAGCAAAUUUGUGUUUCUAAAAGGUAACAAUCAAACUCCAAGGGUUGUAAAAUCCUGAACUUCUGAAUUACUGCUCAGGUUUUUUUUUAGAGGAUUUGGAUUUUUAGAGGAUAGCACUUUUGGAUUUUAGAUUUUGGAACUAAGGAUGCCUACCCAGCAAAUAUAAUUAACAGAAUCCGAAAGUCUUCAAACACUUCUCAAGUGUUUCAGAUAAGACAUACUCAAACCAGUAUGUAAAUCUGAUUUUUCAAUAUUCCGUGGUAGCCAACCUUAUAUUAUUUGUAGUGUUAAGGUACUAAACCAGAAUGAAAUAAAACUUACUCAACUCAA